GGCGGCGUGCUUAACACAUGCAAGUCGAACGGAAAGGCCCUGCUUUUGUGGGGUGCUCGAGUGGCGAACGGGUGAGUAACACGUGAGUAACCUGCCCUUGACUUUGGGAUAACUUCAGGAAACUGGGGCUAAUACCGGAUAGGAGCUCCUGCUGCAUGGUGGGGGUUGGAAAGUUUCGGCGGUUGGGGAUGGACUCGCGGCUUAUCAGCUUGUUGGUGGGGUAGUGGCUUACCAAGGCUUUGACGGGUAGCCGGCCUGAGAGGGUGACCGGCCACAUUGGGACUGAGAUACGGCCCAGACUCCUACGGGAGGCAGCAGUGGGGAAUAUUGCGCAAUGGGCGGAAGCCUGAUGCAGCAACGCCGCGUGCGGGAUGACGGCCUUCGGGUUGUAAACCGCUUUCGCCUGUGACGAAGCGUGAGUGACGGUAAUGGGUAAAGAAGCACCGGCUAACUACGUGCCAGCAGCCGCGGUGAUACGUAGGGUGCGAGCGUUGUCCGGAUUUAUUGGGCGUAAAGGGCUCGUAGGUGGUUGAUCGCGUCGGAAGUGUAAUCUUGGGGCUUAACCCUGAGCGUGCUUUCGAUACGGGUUGACUUGAGGAAGGUAGGGGAGAAUGGAAUUCCUGGUGGAGCGGUGGAAUGCGCAGAUAUCAGGAGGAACACCAGUGGCGAAGGCGGUUCUCUGGGCCUUUCCUGACGCUGAGGAGCGAAAGCGUGGGGAGCGAACAGGCUUAGAUACCCUGGUAGUCCACGCUGUAAACGGUGGGUACUAGGUGUGGGGUCCAUUCCACGGGUUCCGUGCCGUAGCUAACGCUUUAAGUACCCCGCCUGGGGAGUACGGCCGCAAGGCUAAAACUCAAAGGAAUUGACGGGGCCCCGCACAAGCGGCGGAGCAUGCGGAUUAAUUCGAUGCAACGCGUAGAACCUUACCUGGGUUUGACAUGGAUCGGGAGCGCUCAGAGAUGGGUGUGCCUCUUUUGGGGUCGGUUCACAGGUGGUGCAUGGCUGUCGUCAGCUCGUGUCGUGAGAUGUUGGGUUAAGUCCCGCAACGAGCGCAACCCUUGUUCACUGUUGCCAGCACGUUAUGGUGGGGACUCAGUGGAGACCGCCGGGGUCAACUCGGAGGAAGGUGGGGAUGACGUCAAGUCAUCAUGCCCCUUAUGUCCAGGGCUUCACGCAUGCUACAAUGGCUGGUACAGAGAGUGGCGAGCCUGUGAGGGUGAGCGAAUCUCGGAAAGCCGGUCUCAGUUCGGAUUGGGGUCUGCAACUCGACCUCAUGAAGUCGGAGUCGCUAGUAAUCGCAGAUCAGCAACGCUGCGGUGAAUACGUUCCCGGGGCUUGUACACACCGCCCGUCAAGUCAUGAAAGUUGGUAACACCCGAAGCCGGUGGCCUAACCGUUGUGGGGGAGCCGUCGAAGGUGGGACUGGUGAUUAGGACUAAGUCAU
rnacentral:rRNA from 1 species